rnacentral:rRNA from 1 species
UUCCAGGAAAAGCCUCUAAGCUCUAGGUAACAUUAAAUCGUACCCCAAACCGACACAGGUGGUCAGGUAGAGAAUACCAAGGCGCUUGAGAGAACUCGGGUGAAGGAACUAGGCAAAAUGGUGCCGUAACUUCGGGAGAAGGCACGCUGGCAUGUAGGUGAAGUCCUUCGCGGAUGGAGCUGAAGCCAGUCGAAGAUACCAGCUGGCUGCAACUGUUUAA